AGCUUUGUGCAGUGGCAGUAUUGUAGCCAAUGAGGUUUAUCUGAGGCACAAUUAUUGCUAAUUGAAAGCUUUUCCCAAUACCCUGCCGUGACGGCUUAAAAUGUAGUCAGCAUUGGCAAUUUUUGACAGUCUCUACAGAGA